rfam:Myotis lucifugus cont2.41563, whole genome shotgun sequence.
CCUGGCCUAGCUCAGUUGGUUAAAGCAUUGUCCUGAUAAGCCAAGGUUGUGGGUUCAAUCCCAGGUCAGAG